GAUGAACGCUGGCGGCGUGCUUAACACAUGCAAGUCGAACGGACAGGCCCUGCUUUUGUGGGUUGCUCGAGUGCCGAACGGGUGAGUAACACGUGAGUAACCUGCCCUUGACUUUGGGAUAACUUCAGGAAACUGGGGCUAAUACCGGAUAGAAGCUCUUGCUGCACGGUGGGGGUUGGAAAGAUUCGGCGGUUGGGGAUGGACUCGCGGCUUAUCAGCUUGUUGGUCGGGUAGUGGCUUACCAAGGCUGUGACGGGUAGCCGGCCUGAGAGGGUGACCGGCCACAAUAGGACUGAGAUACGGCCCAGACUCCUACGGGAGGCAGCAGUGGAGAAUAUUGCACAAUGGGCGGAAGCCUGAUGCAGCAACGCCGCGUGCGGGAUGACGGCCUUCGGGUUGUAAACCGCUUUCGCCUGUGACGAAGCGUGAGUGACGGUAAUGGGUAAAGAAGCACCGGCUAACUACGUG
rnacentral:rRNA from 1 species